GGGUCAGUAGGUUGGUCGUGCCACCGGUACGUACUGGUCUCACUGAUUCCUCCUUCCUGAAGAGCCGUAAUGCCAUUAAUUUGGUGUUGCGGGGAAACAGGACUGUUACUUUGAGAAAAUUAGAGUGUUUAAAGCAAGCUAACGCUUGAAUACAUUAGCAUGGAAUAAUGAAAUAGGACGAUCGAUCCUAUUUUGUUGGUUUCUAGGAUUGACGUA
rnacentral:rRNA from 1 species